GACGAACGCUGGCGGCGUGCUUAACACAUGCAAGUCGAACGGUGAACCUCUUCGGAGGGGAUCAGUGGCGAACGGGUGAGUAACACGUUGGCAACCUGCCCCCGUCUCUGGGAUAACUCCAAGAAAUUGGGGCUAAUACCGGAUUUUCACCGCUUCCCUCAUGGGUGGUGGUGAAAAGGUUUUCCGGCUGGGGAUGGGCCCGCGGCCUAUCAGCUUGUUUGUGGGGUAGUGGCCUACCAAGGCGACGACGGGUAGCCGGCCUUAGAGGGUGACCGGCCACACUGGGACUGAGACAGGGCACAGACUACAACGGGAGGCAGCAGUGGGGAAUAGUGCGCAAUGGGAGGAAGCCUGACGAAGCGAAGCAGCGUGGGGGAUGACGGCCUUCGGGUUGUAAAAAUAUAUCAGCAGGGACGAAGCGAAAGUGACGGUACCGGAAGAAGAAGCACCGGCCAACUACGUG
rnacentral:rRNA from 1 species